rnacentral:rRNA from 1 species
CCAAAAACGGAUAAUCCUUUAAAGACAUUUGUUCCUGUGCUGCUUUUAUAUAUUAUAAAUCAUCAUGGACUUUACUGAGUAUCCCAGUUGAGAAAUUUUAUAAUCUAAGAAAUUAGGAAUAUGUUAAUAAUUCACAUUAGCGACUAACAAAGUGCCAGCAGUCGCGGUCACACUUUAGCUAAUAUAAAAUUGACUAGGACAUGUAUAAGUAACUCUAUAUCCUAUAGUGAAAUAUGGAUAGAUAAACUAUUUUACUUAAAAUAUACUUAAUACUGAUAUCAAACGGGGAUUAGAUACCCCUCUAUGCAGUAAGUAAAACACGUCCUGGGCACUACAAUUAACAGAUUGAAACCCAACGAACAUGGCGGUAUGUUAAAUAUUUAGGGGAACUUACUGAAUAAAUGAUAACCACCAAGAUGAUGUACGUCAAGUUAAAUUUUACAUACCGUCGUCGUCAGAUAUACUAGAACAGAAUAUCAAAAUAUUAACUCAAUAAAAAGACAGAUCUAGGUGUAGACCACCUUAACGUUUUAGCGAGUUACAAUAUUUAAUAAUUUCGUAACGUAGUAUUAUACUACUUGCAGUCGGACUUAAAAGUAAUAUUUAUAGAAAAUACAACAUGAAUAGUCUUUAACCUGUGC